CUCUCAGCUCCCGCUCGGUGCAGCCCCAUCCAGCUGCCACCCCAGGCCAGCUCCCCUGACAUAGGAGAAGUUGCUGUGCAGUCCAGCUGCAGAUACUGUCCCAGUAACAACCUAUAGAACAAGCCUCUGAUUCUUUCCUCUGCCUUCCGGGUAUGGACUGUAUUAUUACCUCAAUCAGUCAUCCUUGAUUCAGCUCUGAAGCAGCAAUAUGGGCAAGAAAACAGACUGUGUGCAUCCUGUAAUCCGUCCAGGCUUACGGCCAUAAGAUUCCAUAAGAUGCCAUGAAUUUUCUCCAGCCUUCUGCUAAAGUGGUGUUGGUAGGUGUAAUGUCAAAAGGCUCUUGAAGACUGACUGUAUAUGGAAAAAUAUAUCUGUGGAGGGUGGUGGCAAGUAACAAGAGGCAAAAAGAGUCAAAUGAUGAUGCACUGGUCACGGUCCAUGAUGACAACUAAUGGUAACCGUCAAACCUUCUUCCAGCAUGGAUUCAUGGCCUCCCUAGUGUGGUUCCAGAUUAAAUCAUGAAGGUUUUACACAGAGUGCAAAUAUCUGUAGUUACAGAACCUCAGCCAGUGAUACUGCUGUGUUGCUGUGCUCAGCCAGUGAUACUGCUGUGUUGCUGUGUCAAGUAAGGUCUGUUACAUCUGCCAGGAAUUUGCGUGGUAUAUUAAGACAGAAAAUCCCAGCUGCCACAGAUGGUGUCAGGGCUUCUGCUAUGCAGUUUCUGCUGUGCAGCUCCUUGUGGUUCACCUCAGGGAGCAUGUCAUAGUGAGACAGAAUUACAGGGGCAGCUGUAAAACUGCAACAAUGGUACUAAUGCUCACAUGAUGUGUUUUGCAGGAUUAGAAUGUCAAGCACUACCUGAAUUUACUGUAAUCCUUAUUAAUUGCUAAUUACAGUCUGCAGGGCCAGGUUCAGCCACAAGGCUCACUGGAAGGAGUGUCUUGUGCCCUGCAUGCUGGAGCACCUCUCACAGGUCAUACUUCCCCAUAGGGUGACGAGCUCUGAGUAGGGCCACACUGCAAGGCAGCCUUCCCAUGUGAUACUGUGCUGGAAGAGGCAUGUAGAGGAAAUAGGGCACGAUUCUCUAACUGCUGCAUGGCUCUAUGGCUGCUCACCCACCCCAGCAGCUGCGCUGCGGCAAUGCAUGACUGCCAGGGAAGUGAGUGUACAUUGCCAGCAGAGAGGUGAAGGAGGAGAAGGAAGGUGUAUUAGAUAGAACUCAGGGCUCAGGAAUUUUUCUUCUAGUCAUGGUCUUGUUUUGGUUCCAAUUCAAUGUGAGCACCAUUUGUGUCUACCUUUUGAGAAUGCAGGAAGAGAAAGCCAUAUGAGGAAAAUUUAAGAGGACCUAGGAGAAAUGUAGCUACAGUAGUUGAGAUUGCAAUGCAAAUCUAAGCCCUAACAAUCUGUUUUACUAGAUGGCAAUAUGGAAUUUAAUUAGCUGAAAUAUUUUGAUCUUGAUGCUGAAUAAUAUAUCAGCUUUUAAAAAAUGCAAAGAAAAAGGCCUGUGAAUAGAAGUUACAGUGUUGUUUAUUAAUGAUGGCAAGACACAGGGUUAGAGGUAAAAGAAAUGUGUCCUGAUGGCGAAGGAGCACAUUAGGUUAGAUUUACUUGAAGGGAUUUCAAUGUUCAAAUUCUGCAUUUGUCAUUGUAAUACUAGCCUUAGGUAUUAGCACAGAACUUAAUAACUUUAUGAUGAUAUGGAAGAGACUUAGUGAACACCUUCUUUUGCCAGCCUUGAAACUGGAGGGUUCAAGAGUCUUUUGGUUAAAGACUCCUGCAAUAGGUCUGCCAAAACACAUUGUAACCUGUGUAUCCAUACAGUACUGUGUUGUUGGCACCAGUCUGGAAAUCUCCACAUUAUAGGAAUGCUAAACAGCUUUAAAAGGCUUUUUAUUUUGAAGGUUUCUGAAAUGGGAGAAAAUGUUUUUUAGCAACUGAAUGUAACCUGCACUAGUCAGGAGAAAAAAUAUUUUCCUCAUGGAUGCUACAAAGCCUGAUUCUUUGCUGUUUAAAAUUAUGUUAAUUCAGAGCAUAUAGAAUUUUUUCCUCUUGGAGAACCAAAUUAAAUGGGAGGAGAGUACAAGCAGUGAUAAUUUUAACUAUUUUUUAAAAUACAUUAAAAAAUCCACCCUUUUGUAAGUAGCUGUAAUCAGAAGUAGUUUAAAGCCACAAUGACGGUGAAGUCUGUCUGAAGGCUCCCAUCAACUCACCAGCAGAUCGUUCCCCUGAGUUGGCAGUAGCUGUUACCAGAGAAGCUGGUUCUCUUUUAUUAGCUGCUGAAGAAGUACUAAUGGGAUAAUGAGUAGUUUGCACUUUCGCAUUAGCACUUAUUCAUCAUAGACAGUGCAUACAAAGUAUCUGUAGCUAAAGUAUUAAGUAACCACUUUUGUGACAUUUGUUCUGUAUUAUAUUUCUGAAGUGUCUAGAUUUUUAUAUUGGUAUUUGAUAAACUGUGGUUAAAGCCCUGUAUAUUUAUGUUUCAUCAAAUGAAAUAAUUAUGCAAACUCACGGUAUCAAUUUUACUUCUAAAAUAAAGGGAUUAUUUUGUGUAAAUCUUUGUUUCUCCUCCAGAAAACACCUUUUUGAGGUGUUCUUCUCAGACUCCCUUUCCUGUGAUGCCACAAAGGAUAUAUAUGAAUGUGAAAACAUUAAUCUGCACCAUACAUGCCCUUGAGAAAUUUGGUUUACUUUUAAUGAUGUUAAAAACUGUUCUGUAGCCAGUAUAGCUAGAAAAAGAACAUUUUUAGCACAUUUAUGCUAAUGCCAAAUUGAAACCAUCUCAAGGCCUCUCACACCUACUUGAAGGGUUUAAGGACUGGAGAAGGCUCUUCUGUAAUGAAUUGGAAAAGGAGGAGGGGAUGAAAGAUGAGACAAGCAUUUUAGGACAAGCCUAAGAGGCAGAUCUGCUCCAACCCAUCUCAUCUGUCUGUCAGGAAACAAGGGGUGGAUGAGCACGGCACGGCUGUUUCUCACAGCAGUGUUCCUGAUCAAGCAGUAAAUAUUGCUCUUUAAUUUUUCACCCUUUCUUAUU